rnacentral:rRNA from 1 species
UACGUAGGAUGCGAGCGUUGUCCGGAAUUAUUGGGCGUAAAGAGAACGUAGGCGGUUUGUUAAGUUUGGGGCUUAAAGACUGGGGCUCAACCCCAGGAGUGGCGUCGAAAACUGACAGACUAGAGGAUGGCAGAGGAAAGUGGAAUUCCCAGUGUAGCGGUGAAAUGCGUAGAUAUUGGGAGGAACACCAGUGGCGAAAGCGACUUUCUGGGCCAUUCCUGACGCUGAGGGUUCGAAAGCUCGGGGAGCAAACAGG